AUUGAACGCUGGCGGCAGGCUUAACACAUGCAAGUCGAGCGGGGUGAUGGUGCUUGCACUAUCACUUAGCGGCGGACGGGUGAGUAAUGCUUAGGAAUCUGCCUAUUAGUGGUGGACAACAUCUCGAAAGGGAUGCUAAUACCGCAUACGUCCUACGGGAGAAAGCAGGGGAUCACUUGUGACCUUGCGCUAAUAGAUGAGCCUAAGUCGGAUUAGCUAGUUGGUGGGGUAAAGGCCUACCAAGGCGACGAUCUGUAGCGGGUCUGAGAGGAUGAUCCGCCACACUGGGACUGGGACACGGCCCAGACUCCUACGGGAGGUAGCAGUGGGGAAUAUUGGACAAUGGGGGGAACCCUGAUCCAGCCAUGCCGCGUGUGUGAACAAGGCCUUAUGGUUGUAAAGCACUUUAAGCGAGGAGGAGGCUCUUUUGGUUAAUACCCAAGAUGAGUGGACGUUACUCGCAGAAUAAGCACCGGCUAACUCUGUGCCAGCCGCCGCGGUAA
rnacentral:rRNA from 1 species